GACGAACGCUGGCGGCGUGCUUAACACAUGCAAGUCGAACGAAGAGCGAUGGAAGCUUGCUUCUAUCAAUCUUAGUGGCGAACGGGUGAGUAACGCGUAAUCAACCUGCCCUUCAGAGGGGGACAACAGUUGGAAACGACUGCUAAUACCGCAUACGAUCUGACCUCGGCAUCGAGGAUAGAUGAAAGGUGGCCUCCACAUGUAAGCUAUCACUGAAGGAGGGGAUUGCGUCUGAUUAGCUAGUUGGAGGGGUAACGGCCCACCAAGGCGAUGAUCAGUAGCCGGUCUGAGAGGAUGAACGGCCACAUUGGGACUGAGACACGGCCCAGACUCCUACGGGAGGCAGCAGUGGGGAAUCUUCCGCAAUGGACGAAAGUCUGACGGAGCAACGCCGCGUGAGUGAUGACGGCCUUCGGGUUGUAAAGCUCUGUUAAUCGGGACGAAAGGCCUUUUUGCGAAUAGUGAGAAGGAUUGACGGUACCGGAAUAGAAAGCCACGGCUAACUACGUG
rnacentral:rRNA from 1 species